rnacentral:rRNA from 1 species
UGGGGAAUAUUGGACAAUGGGCGCAAGCCUGAUCCAGCCAUGCCGCGUGUGUGAAGAAGGCCUUCGGGUUGUAAAGCACUUUUGUCCGGAAAGAAAAGCUUAGGGUUAAUAACCCUGAGUCAUGACGGUACCGGAAGAAUAAGCACCGGCUAACUUCGUGCCAGCAGCCGCGGUAAUACGAAGGGUGCAAGCGUUACUCGGAAUUACUGGGCGUAAAGCGUGCGUAGGUGGUUUGUUAAGUCUGAUGUGAAAGCCCUGGGCUCAACCUGGGAAUGGCAUUGGAAACUGGCUUACUAGAGUGCGGUAGAGGGUAGCGGAAUUCCCGGUGUAGCAGUGAAAUGCGUAGAUAUCGGGAGGAACAUCCGUGGCGAAGGCGGCUACCUGGACCAGCACUGACACUGAGGCACGAAAGCGUGGGGAGCAAACAGGAUUAGAUACCCUGGUAGUCCACGCCCUAAACGAUGCGAACUGGAUGUUGGGGGCAACUUGGCCCUCAGUAUCGAAGCUAACGCGUUAAGUUCGCCGCCUGGGGAGUACGGCGCAAGACUG